rnacentral:tRNA from 1 species
GCGGCAAUAGCUCAGUGGUAGAGCCCCCGCUUCGCGUGCAGGGAGACCCGGGUUCGAUUCCCGGCUGCUUCC